CUACGGGGCGCACCAGUGGGGGAUAUUGCACAAUGGAGGAAACUCUGAUGCAGCGACGCCGCGUGAGUGAUGAAGUAUUUCGGUAUGUAAAGCUCUAUCAGCAGGGAAGAAAGGCUCCGUAUGGAGAGAUGACGGUACCUGAGUAAGAAGCCCCGGCUAACUACGUGCCAGCAGCCGCGGUAAUACGUAGGGGGCGAGCGUUAUCCGGAUUUACUGGGCGUAAAGGGAGCGCAGACGGAUGUGCAAGUCUGAUGUGAAAGCCCGGGGCUCACCCCCGGGACUGCAUUGGAAACUGUAGAUCUGGAGUAUUGGAAGGGCAAGCGGAAUUCCUGGUGUAGCGGUGAAAUGCGUAGAUAUCAGGAGGAACACCGGUGGCGAAGGCGGCUUGCUGGACAAUAACUGACGUUGAGGCUCGAAAGCGUGGGGAGCAAACAGGAUUAGAUACCCUCGUAGUC
rnacentral:rRNA from 1 species